GGGGGGGGGCGAGGGUGAUUUACUGCUGGCAGGGAAUUGUUUUUUCUGGGAUCGUUAUGUGCAAGUUGUUUUUUUCCGUCCCAACACCAUGUACGAUUUUUCUUUUGCCACUCUCUCUUUCGCAGCAUCUUUUUUCAAUGCUUAUACUAUUUAGAUUCUUUAAUUAUAUAGUUAACGUUGAAUUUUUAGCUUCAUGCAUUGCUUGGCCUCUUUUAAGGCAGGGCCGUAGGAAGCUCUUUUCGAUUGGGGGGAGGGGCGGAAAGCGAGGCAGAAGGCUCGCGGAAAUUUUUAAAUUUAGAGUCUCUGAAAUGCCAUUUCCUGGUCUUUGGCGGAAGAUUUGACAGAAUUGUGAUGGUCAGAAAACAGCGUUUUAGUAUGUUGAAAUUUACAAUUUAGUAGUACUAAAUGGGCGAAGGGUUAGGGGGGCUGCAGGAUGUGUAUCUGGAGAUGACAUAUUUAGCGGGGGACCUGGAGAAGUUCCAGUCGGCAAGUCUGUGUCGCUCAUAGAAAUAUGGUGUCGCUGCAGCUACCUGCAGCAUAUAUAUGCAUGGUUUAACCAACAUAUAAGUUUGCGCCAUAGGGCAGCAAAUCAGGCCAUACCUAGGAUUCUGAGACAACCGAGUCGACCACCAAAGAUGGGAGCCUCUAGAGGGGUUUGGGGGCAUGCCCCCACGCAGAAAAUUUUGGAUUUCUUGAAGCUCAGAUAAGCAUUGGUAAAGCAGAUAAUAUUGGUAACGUUUCUGAGAGGAAUUCAUAUUUAAAUAGGAGCUAAAUU